GCUGAAGACUAUAAUGCUUUUACUCACUUGUCUCCCAAGAUACUUUAGAGAUGCAUUAUGCUAGAAAACGUCAAAGUUUUCUUGUUAAUCAAGGUUAUGCUUUCAAGGUGAUAACCAAGUUGAAGGGAAUGGACGAGGAGGAAUUACUUUAUACCAAUAAGGAUGAACAACAACAACUUCUUCAUCAAGUUUUAGCUGCCAAUGAAUCGGAAGCGGAAGAGAAAAGUUACCGGUGAUCUAUUUGCUAAACCAUAAGGAUCAUCUUCUAUGCGAAGAGUUGGAAACAUUGGCUCAAUCUCCACGUUUUUUUAUGUAACAAUUAGAAUUAAACUGAUGUAGAUCAAGAUUUCCCUAUCGAUAACCUUUUCUGAACAAUGUUACUCAAUGUGACUUUGUUAAAGUAAAAUGACAAAAGCAAAUUAAAUAAUCAGAUUAAUUCAGUAAUACAAUUUUCUUUGUUAUUUUUCUUUCUCUCUCUCUUCCUUCAUCUCUAUUUUUGGCUGUAACUUGUAUUUGGUUUCCUUUUGUUUAUUUCCAGUCCUGUGGAGCUACACAAUGUACCAAAAUUGUUUGUAAUGUUCACAAUUUAGGUCGUCAAUCGAUAACCUUUACCAUUCGAUCACGAUUAUCCAAGAAAACAAUCUCUGAAAUUGGUUUACCUGAAUUUCAAGUCUCAUCUAAAUUGGUCGCUGAAGUUGUUCAAUUACCUUAUGGAAUUGAAAAUGAUUAUAUACCAGCGAAAGUGACUCGAGUUUCAACCGAUGUCCGAGUAAUUGGAUUGGAAAGAGGACUUCCAAUCCCUCUAUGGAUUAUCCUACUUGCCAUUCUAGUCGGAUUACUGCUUCUCUUCAUAUUGGCAUUAGCGCUUUGGAAGCUUGGUUUCUUCAAACGUAAACGACCACCGACCCGAGAGGAAGAUUACGAACCACUGCAACCAAAUUCAAAUGGCUACAAAUUCAGAACGGGAGACACUUCGCUGAAAAUCAAUCGCAUAGAAACAGAGAAACAAAAAUCUAAUCAUUGUACAUAAACUUUGCUAACUCUUAAUCCAUUUUAAAACCAAAUCUUUCAUCGUCAUCAUCUUCAUCAUGUGCACAUCAGAAUCUUGCUCGUUUUCUUUCAAUUCUUUUCUCUUUUCUUCUCUCUCAUUCUUCACUAUUCUCAUCUUCACUUCACUUAUCAUCACAAUCUCUCAUCAUCUUUCUCUUUCUCUCUCUCUCUCUCUACCCAUCACUUGCAAUUUAUAUUCUGCUUCGAUUUCAAAAAAGACUCACAAUUUUCCAAGUCAUCAACAGAAACAUCAUUUUCACCACCACCAAUGUUGCCUUCGUCUGUUAAUUUGCCUUCCUACUUUUCUCAAAGACCACCAACUAAUCAGGUUAAUUUAACACAGUUACAAUAAUUUCUACUGCCUCCUGGUCUCCCUCUCUCUUUCUCUAUCUUUCAUUAUGAUGAUCAAAGUGCCAAAAAGCCCACCAAAGUAUCUCAAUCCACAUGAGAGAAAGUGAGAGAAAG